rnacentral:tRNA from 4 species
GCGCACGUAGCUCAGCGGUUAGAGCAUCCGCCUUAUAAGCGGGAGAUCGAUGGUCCGAAUCCAUCCGUGCGCA